CCCUUAGAUGUUCUGGGCCGCACGCGCGCUACACUGACGAAUGCAACGAGCUUAUAACCUUGGCCGAAAGGUCUGGGUAAUCUCCAAAUUUCGUCGUGAUGGGGAUAGAUUAUUGCAAUUAUUAAUCUUCAACGAGGAAUGCCUAGUAAGCGCAAGUCAUCAGCUUGCGUUGAUUACGUCCCUGCCCUUUGUACACACCGUCCGUCGCUCCUACCGAUUGAAUGGUCCGGUGAAGCGUUCGGACCGUGGCCUUUGGACGGUUCGCCGUCUGUUGGCUGCGGGAAGUUCGUUAAACCUUAUCAUUUAGAGGAAGGAGAANUCGUANCA
rnacentral:rRNA from 1 species